ACUGUCAAGAUAAUGUCAUACGCCUGCAAAAUGGCUGAUAUCACACAAGAAGGAGUUUCACUUGUUGAAGACAUAUUUAGACGAAGACAACCUCUACCUUCAAUGGAUGCGAUUUAUUUCAUCCAGCCAACUAAAGAGAACGUCAUCAUGUUCUUGUCAGACAUGUCUGG